GUGCUCGCUUUGGCAGCACAUAUACGAAAAUUGGAACUAUACAGAGAAGAUUAGCAUGACCCCUGCACAAGGAUGAUGCACAAAUCCAUGAAGCAUAUAUUUU
rnacentral:snRNA from 1 species